rnacentral:rRNA from 1 species
GGCGUAUAUUAAAGUUGUUGCAGUUAAAAAGCUCGUAGUCGGAUUUCGGGCUCGGGCAGGCUGUCGGCCUCGGUCGGACGGCAGGCUCGGGCCUUUCUGCCUGGGGACCCCGUCACACUUAACUGUGGGGCGGUUGGACGCAGGCCGUUUACUUUGAAAAAAUUAGAGUGUUCAAAGCAGGCCUACGCUUGAAUACAUUAGCAUGGAAUAAUGGAAUAGGACUUUGAUGCUAUUUUGUUGGUUUAUGGGACCGAAGUAAUGAUUAACAGGGACAGUUGGGGCCGUUUAUAUUUCGUUGUCAGAGGUGAAAUUCUUGGAUUUACGAAAGAUAAACUUCUGCGAAAGCAUUCGGCAAGGAUGUUUUCAUUGAUCAAGAACGAAAGUUAGGGGAUCGAAGACGAUCAGAUACCGUCGUAGUCUUAACCAUAAACUAUGCCGACUAGGGAUCAGUGGAUGUCAAUUUGCGACUCCAUUGGCACCUUGUGAGAAAUCAAAGUUUUUGGGUUCCGGGGGGAGUAUGGUCGCAAGGCUGAAACUUAAA